CUCCCACGCGCCGGGUUGACGCAAAUCCUAGCGUGGGCAGCGUUGCGCGCGUGGGCGGAAUACCGAGAGAGAAAGAGAGAAGACCUGAACGGUCAAAAUACACAUUCAUGAUGACAUAUUGAGGAAUAUUAAACGGUUUGGAGAAAUCAACCAUUAUCACUUGCUCACCAAUGGAUGCUCUGCUGCGAAUGGGUACCGUCAGAAUGAGAUUACAAACAGCUGAUAAAAACAUCAUAACAAUAAAUCAACAAAGCCAGCUGACUCCAGUCCAUUGAUUAACUUCCACUGAAGGGAAAAGUUGCACGUGUAGGAUCCAUUGCUGAACAAGUGAUGUAAUGCUAAAUUUCCCUAAAUCUGUUCCCAUGAAGAAACAAACUCAUCUUGGAAGGCCUGAGAACAGCAAGUUAACCCCACAGGAAAUUUACUCACGCUCUCUUGAGCGCAAAAUCCCCCCGAAACCCACUUGAGUAUACUGCUAUUCAAAUGUACAUUCAAAAUAGUCAGAAAGUUUUUUCCUUCAUACAUCUCAGUAAAAUUACAACUUUAAAUAAACACCUAAACCAACACCACAGUAGAAUCCACAUAUGAAAUUAAAUAAUGUUUUGUUUUCCCUCCACACUAGCUUGAAAAAUGCACAUAUUAGCUGCAUAUUAAAAUAAAAUGUAAUCAUGGCCUAAGGCCCCGUCCACACGGAGACCCGUUUCACCGUAUACACAUACAUUUUGUAUCGUAUAGGUGUUUCGUCCACACGG